rnacentral:rRNA from 1 species
UAGGGAAUCUUCCACAAUGGACGCAAGUCUGAUGGAGCAACGCCGCGUGAGUGAAGAAGGUUUUCGGAUCGUAAAGCUCUGUUGUUGGUGAAGAAGGAUAGAGGCAGUAACUGGUCUUUAUUUGACGGUAAUCAACCAGAAAGUCACGGCUAACUACGUGCCAGCAGCCGCGGUAAUACGUAGGUGGCAAGCGUUGUCCGGAUUUAUUGGGCGUAAAGCGAGCGCAGGCAGAAUGAUAAGUCUGAUGUGAAAGCCCACGGCUCAACCGUGGAACUGCAUCGGAAACUGUCAUUCUUGAGUGCAGAAGAGGAGAGUGGAACUCCAUGUGUAGCGGUGGAAUGCGUAGAUAUAUGGAAGAACACCAGUGGCGAAGGCGGCUCUCUGGUCUGCAACUGACGCUGAGGCUCGAAAGCAUGGGUAGCGAACAGGAUUAGAUACCCUGGUAGUCCAUGCCGUAAACGAUGAGCGCUAGGUGUUGGGGACUUUCCGGUCCUCAGUGCCGCA